rnacentral:rRNA from 1 species
GAGGACUCUCUUUCUAUAAUAGAUGCAGGUCGAGCGGUAGGCACCUUCGGGAAUACACGAGCGGCGAACGGGUGAGUAACACGUGAGCAAUCUGCCCUUCUCAUCGGAAUAACCAUUGGAAACGAUGGCUAAUGCCGAAUAUGACCUCGGAACACAUGUUCUGAGGUGGAAAGCUCCGGCGGAGAAGGAUGAGCUCGCGGCCUAUCAGCUUGUUGGUGAGGUAAUGGCUCACCAAGGCAUUGACGGGUAGCCGGCCUGAGAGGGUGACCGGCCACACUGGGACUGAGACACGGCCCAGACUCCUACGGGAGGCAGCAGUGGGGAAUAUUGGACAAUGGGCGAAAGCCUGAUCCAGCAACGCCGCGUGAGGGAUGACGGCCUUCGGGUUGUAAACCUCUUUCAGCAGGGACGAAGCGAAAGUGACGGUACCUGCAGAAGAAGGACCGGCCAACUACGUGCCAGCAGCCGCGGUAAUACGUAGGGUCCGAGCGUUGUCCGGAAUUAUUGGGCGUAAAGGGCUCGUAGGCGGUAUAUGUCACGUCGAGGAGUGAAAACUCAGGGCUCAACCCUGAGCGUGCUUCCGAUACGGGCAGACUAGAGGUAUGCAAGGGGAGAACGGAAUUCCUGGUGUAGCGGUGGAAUGCGCAGAUAUCAGGAGGAACACCGGUGGCGAAGGCGGUACUCUGGGCAUUACCUGACGCUGAGGAGCAAAGCAUUGGGGAGCGAAACAGGAUUAGAUUACCCCUGGUAAUACCAUUGCCGUAAACAGUUGGGGCGCUAAGUGUGGAGGGACCUUCCAAAGGAUACAUCACGUGCCGACACGCAUUAACGCCAUUUC